CCUGGUGGCUCAGAUGGUAAAGCGUCUGCCUGCAAUGCGGGAAACCCAGGCUCGAUUCCUGGGUCAGGA
rnacentral:tRNA from 1 species